rnacentral:rRNA from 1 species
UCUGCCACCGAAUACAUUAGCAUGGGAUAAUGGAAUAGGACCCUGUCCUCCUAUUUUCAGUUGGUUUUGGCAGCGCGAGGACUAGGGUAAUGAUUAAUAGGGAUAGUUGGGGGCAUUAAUAUUUAAUUGUCAGAGGUGAAAUUCUUGGAUUUAUGAAAGAUUAACUUCUGCGAAAGCAUCUGCCAAGGAUGUUUUCAUUAAUCAAGAACGAAAGUUAGGGGAUCGAAGACGAUCAGAUACCGUCGUAGUCUUAACCAUAAACGAUGCCGACCAGCGAUUAGGAGACGUUGAAUACAAAACACCACCAUCGGCGCGGUCGUCCUUGGCGUCUGUCCCUUUCAACGGGGGCAGGCGCGAGGGCGGUUUAGCCCGGUGGCACCGGUGAAUGACUCCCCUAGCAGCUUGUGAGAA